UGGCAAGGCAAAUGCCUCACGAUGGUA
rnacentral:sRNA from 1 species